CGUUGGGACCCUUGGAACAGAAUUAGAAUUUCAUGGGAGUGAGCAUAUUCCAACGGAAUAUUUGCUCAGAGCUUCUUUUCUCUGCUAGCGUUUGAGGCAUAUUAUUUGGUAUCAAACAUAUUCUCUUCGUCAUUUAUCUUUUCCCUUUCUUCUCUAUUCAAAUUCCUCAUCCACGUCUCAGACAAACCAACCCAGCUUCCAGUGCGUAUUGUUCACAUCAUUGUUCACGGGUACUGCUCAUGUCAUUGUUCACGGACACUAUUUGUGUAGCUCAAAAGGAGUGCCAGAUGAUCCAAAGAAGGUGAAAGCCAUUCAAAAGUGAGGUUUGCCUCGGUCCAAGGGAGGAAAGGACUAAAUUUUUGUGAUGGUUGACAUGUUUUGUACUACGACUCACGUCACAACAUGAAAAAAGGUAGAUGACACGUGUCAUGUUGCUGAUAUGUUCUUCAAGGAAGUGGUGAGAUUGCACGGUUUACUUGGGAGUAUUGUAUGUGAUCACGAUUCCAAAUUUUCUAGUUACUUUUGGUGAACUUUGUGCGGGUAAGAUCAAAACCAAAUUGUUGUUUUCAACUGCAUGUCAUUCCCAAACCAAUGAACAAAUUGAAGUGGUUAAAGAAAAUUAUGUCAAGAAGUUGCAUGAGCAGGUCAAUGCAGAAAUUGAGAAAAGAAUAGAAGGUUAUGCUAAACAAGCCAACAAAGGAAGCAAGAAAGUGGUAUUUUGAGGAUAGAGAUUUGGUAUGGGUACACAUGAGGAAGAAGACUCCCUUAACAAAGAAAAUCCAAGAUCCAACCUAGAAGGGAUAGGCCAUUCUGAAUGCUAGAAAAGAUCAAUGACAAUGCCUAUAAGAUUGAUUUUCGAUAGGCAGCGAGGGAAUGAUGUGACAUCGAAGCCUAAGGACAUGAUUAGAAUGAUCAACACCAAGACCAAGUUCAAGAUUUAGGUGGAUCCAUGACUAUAGAAGACUUAGAAAAGACAAAGAGGCAUUACAAGAUAAGGUCGCUCAUCUAAUGAAGGCUAAAUUGUGGAAGGCCCAACAAUUUUAGGACACUAGGUUGAUUACAUGUAUAACAUGUUUGAAGGGCUAACAUCAAGUUGUUUAAAAUAUUAAUUGAAUUAAGCUUAUCAAACUCUAUUUUUGACGAUCAUCCUUAGGCUUAUUGAACUCUUUGUUUCUAGGAAUAUUUGUGGUAGGAGGUGUUUGGAAACUCAUUUUGGGGAAUGUUGACACUCUAGAAUCCUCAAUACUCAAUACAAAUUCACAGUUCACUUUGUCUUUCUAUUCA